AUUUCUUGUGAGCAACUGUGAAACAGGGUGUAACGUUUCUCUAUGGUGAAACCUUUUCGAGGUGUUUCUGCGUUGUAUUUUCGAUUCAAGUGGUCUUCGCUGCCGUGGUUAGUUUGUUUGGCUGCCAAGACUUGUUGCAGCCCAAGUAACAGUGGAGGUCAGCGUUAUUUUCUUACCAGAUUUGCUAGCAUUAUGGGCAUGCUGCCUUUACGACUGGCUAUUCUGAAGACUGGAGAGCAGUAAGCACAGCAUGUGCUAUGACAGGAAGAUCGAGAGGCUAAAGCAAGCUGGUUUUCCCAGUCAAGCGCUGUCCAGAACUUGUGAGAAGUUUUGAAAAGGG